AGGAUUAACGCUGGCGGCGUGCAUGAAACAUGCAAGUCGAGCGCGGUGUGAUGCGGGGUAACCCAAUUCACAUCUAGCGGCGAACGGGUGAGUAACACGUGAGCAACCUACCUUUGAGUUGGGGAUAGCCCUGGGAAACCAGGAUUAAUACCCGAUGUGGUCACAACAGGACAUCCUGAUGUGAGUAAAGGCGCAAGCCGCUCAAUGACGGGCUCGCGGCCUAUUAGCUUGUUGGUGGGGUAACGGCCUACCAAGGCGAUGAUGGGUAGCUGGUCUGAGAGGACGAUCAGCCACACUGGGACUGAGACACGGCCCAGACUCCUACGGGAGGCAGCAGUUAGGAAUUUUCCGCAAUGGGCGAAAGCCUGACGGAGCAACGCCGCGUGAGUGAUGAAGACCUUAGGGUUGUAAAGCUCUGUCGGAGGGAAGAACACAAUGACGGUACCCUCCAAGAAAGCCCCGGCUAACUACGUGCCAGCAGCCGCGGUAAU
rnacentral:rRNA from 1 species